rnacentral:rRNA from 1 species
UGAGGAAUUUUCCGCAAUGAGUGAAAGCUUGACGGAGCAAUGCCGCGUGGAGGAUGAAGGCCUUAGGGUUGUAAUCUCCUUUUCUCAUCGAAGAAUUUUUGACGGUAUUUGAGGAAUAAGCAUCGGCUAACUUCGUGCCAGCAGCCGCGGUAAUACGAGGGAUGCAAGCGUUAUCCGGAAUUAUUGGGCGUAAAGAGUUUGUAGGCGGGUAAGUAUGUUUAAUGUUAAAUGUUAGAGCUCAACUUUGAAACUGCAUUAAAAACUGCUUAUCUAGAGUAUGGUAGGGGUAAAGGGAAUUCCCAGUGUAGCGGUGAAAUGCGUAGAUAUUGGGAAGAACACUAAACAGCGAAGGCACUUUACUAGGCUAAUACUGACGCUGAGAAACGAAAGGUAAGGUAGCGAAACGG